CGAAGCAACGCGAAGAACCUUACCUAAGCUUGACAUCCCAAUGACAUCUCCUUAAUCGGAGAGUUCCCUUCGGGGACAUUGGUGACAGGUGGUGCAUGGUUGUCGUCAGCUCGUGUCGUGAGAUGUUGGGUUAAGUCCCGCAACGAGCGCAACCCUUGUCUUUAGUUGCCAUCAUUAAGUUGGGCACUCUAGAGAGACUGCCAGGGAUAACCUGGAGGAAGGUGGGGAUGACGUCAAAUCAUCAUGCCCCUUAUGCUUAGGGCUACACACGUGCUACAAUGGGUAGUACAGAGGGUUGCCAAGCCGUAAGGUGGAGCUAAUCCCUUAAAGCUACUCUCAGUUCGGAUUGUAGGCUGAAACUCGCCUACAUGAAGCUGGAGUUACUAGUAAUCGCAGAUCAGAAUGCUGCGGUGAAUGCGUUCCCGGGUCUUGUACACACCGCCCGUCACACCACGGGAGUUGGAGACGCCCGAAGCCGAGUAUCUAACCUUUUGGAAGAAGUCGUCGAAGGUGGAAUCAAUAACUGGGGUGAAGUCGUAACAAGGUAGCCGUAUCGGAAGGUGCGGCUGGAUCACCUCCUUUCUAAGGA
rnacentral:rRNA from 1 species